rnacentral:miRNA from 2 species
UCCACUAUUCUUUGUUGACU